UUCUCAGCUUCUAGAGGCUGCCUUCAUCCCUUGGCUCGUGGCCCCCUUCACUCCUCAAAGCCAGCGAUGUCUGAUUGAGUCUUUCCUGCAUCCCAUCACUCAGAUGUGGACUUUCCACUGCCUCUUUCACUUUCAAGGACCCUGUGCUUACAGUGGGAUCACCAGGAAACUUUAUUGCAGUUACCCGAUUCUCUCCACCAUUAUGGAGUCAUGCUUUGUCGGAGUGAAAACCUUUCAGCCACAGAUUGUGGGACCUCAAGAACACAUCUAACUCUGAAGGAAAACGAUAUAAGUCACCCAGAGAUUCUGAACUCAGUAUUCUGAGUCUCUGAUUUGUCUUCUAUUUGAGAGAGGGGAGGAAGUGGGAAGGUAUUAUUUUUAUGUGAAUAAGAGUGUGCAUGAGUGUGAGCCCAUCAAAGGGGUGAACUGUGUGGGUGGUUAUCUUGUCCUCAACAUCCUUUCCACUUUUAUUCUGGUGGCAGAAUAAAAAAUGAUUACCUUCUGCUUUUACUCUAGGGUAAUCAUUCCUCUCACGCACUCUUCCCUACUCAUUGGCGCCUAUAUUUCAGAUAGUGUUGGCCCCACCCCGCAACUCCAGAGCUCCAGAGCUGGCUGUGAGACAUAGGCCCAACCAAUCAGAGCAUCACAUAUUCCUGGCCACAGGGACUUGUUCACCGAUGGACUUAUGACCCAUUAAAAGCAAUAAGUUACAUAUUUGAGUACUUGCUAGGUCCACUGAGAAAGGAGGACUCUUGAAAAAUUUUUUUUUGGCUGGACAUGAACCUGGAAGUUAAUUUUAUAGUUAUCUUUCCACCACAUGGAGCCUAAAAAUGAAGCCAACAUGGGAACCAGGAGAACCUAGAGAUGGAGUGAGCAGGUCCUGGGGACAGAAUUUGAGCCCCUGGAUAAAAACCAUUCCUGAAACUCUCAUGCCCUUGGACUUUCCAGUUAUGUGAGUCAAUAUUUUUCUUUUUCUUCCUUCUUUUUAUUUGACUAAGCCAAUUUUUGUCACUUUAUGUGGCAAUGAGAUUGUUGAUUAUAAACAAUAUCCUUUAGCACUCUGUCAUUUAUUUUUUU
rnacentral:lncRNA from 1 species